ACGAUUGUAUGCCGACAUGUCAAUUUGAACUUAAACUAUAUUCUGUGUUACAGACUGAGAUAGAUACAAGAUGGUCCUGUUCUCGCAGCAGUGAAUGGCUUUCCAGUCUUCGAGCAGUUCAAGACACAGUGUGGAUUAUUGGUGACUGGUCCAUCGAGGUGCUCAGAGAGCUGCAGAGACAGAGGAAGAAACCUGGGCCUGAAGAACAUCCGCAUCAGUUGGUUCGGCUGGGGUGGACUUCGCUGGAAAGGCCUCCUUCCCUUCUUCGAAAACUCACUCCGAGGGAGGUCUCCCCCGGAUGGCCUCAUCAUCCACUGUGGGGACAACAGCAUGGGACAUGUCAGUGGUGUCGUGCUGGUCAAUAUGAUGAAGGAGGACCUUCAUCAAUUCCACACACGACACCCUGGCAUGAAGAUCAUGUUGUCUGCCCUCACACAGAGGUGCAAGUGGAGGUAUGGCAGCCAUCUGGGGAAGAUUGACAAAUCCCGAAGAUUUGGCAACAGUGUUAUGGCUACAGUUGUUGGAUCAAUAGACGGUGCAGUGAUUGAGCACCCUCAAAUUAGACAUGACAGUCCUGGGCUAUUUUUUAAAAGAUGGAGUUCAUUUCACACCUAGAGGAAAUUAUUUAUUUUUAAGUAAGUUUGCUCAUUGCCUUAAAGACCACCUCCAAAUACAGUGAAACUGCACUGGAAUUUGAAAGUGGCCUUUAUUUAAAUGACAAAUUCAUAGCCCACUACCCUGGCUAAUGUUGAGGUUUUUUUAUACUUUUGUUAAACAUCCACUGAUGUAGCCAUGAGACUGUUUCCCUCCCCCCCCACCCCCACAAUACCUGGCUCUCUGAGGUUUUGGCACCCCGUUGCCAGCUAUCAGAGACAUCAAAUCAAUGUCUUGACAGAAUGAAGGGGCUGUAUGAUAUUGUAAUUCAAGGUGAGAAUGUUCUGUUAUAUAUUUGAAAGUAUUGCAUUUGAUGUCUUUUUCCCUUGCCCACAGAUAAACAACAACUGAGCUUUCUUUUUAGAAAUAAAUCUAGCUUCCCUUCAUUUACUAGAAAAAGAGUUAUCGAGGCAGUUUUUCUCUCUGUUCUUGAUUGUGGGGAUGUUAUUUAUGAACAUGCAGCCAGCACUACUUUAAAACCUCUGGGUGCAGUGUAUCACUCUGCACUCAGAUUCAUUUCUUGGGACAGCUAUGGGACACAUCAUUGUCUUACUAUCAGAAAACUGGCCCUCCUUGCUCUUAUUAGAAGAGACCAGCACAUUUAUAUAUAAAGCCGUUUUAAAUAAACUUCCUC